GAUGAAGAACGUAGCGAAAUGCGAUAAGUAAUGUGAAUUGCAGAAUUCAGUGAAUCAUCGAAUCUUUGAACGCACAUUGCGCCCUCUGGUAUUCCGGGGGGCAUGCCUGUUCGAGCGUCAUUUGUACCUUCAAGCUUUGCUUGGUGUUGGGUGUUUGUCUCGCCUUUGCGUGUAGACUCGCCUUAAAAUAAUUGGCAGCCGGCGUAUUGAUUUCGGAGCGCAGUACAUCUCGCGCUUUGCACUCAUAACGACAGCGUCCAAAAGUACAUUUUACACUCUUGACCUCGGAUCAGGUAGGGAUACCCGCUGAACUUAAGCAUAUCAAUAAGCGGAGGA
rnacentral:misc_RNA from 1 species